rnacentral:rRNA from 1 species
UAGGGAAUCUUCCACAAUGGACGCAAGUCUGAUGGAGCAACGCCGCGUGAGUGAAGAAGGUUUUCGGAUCGUAAAGCUCUGUUGUUGGUGAAGAAGGAUAGAGGUAGUAACUGGCCUUUAUUUGACGGUAAUCAACCAGAAAGUCACGGCUAACUACGUGCCAGCAGCCGCGGUAAUACGUAGGUGGCAAGCGUUGUCCGGAUUUAUUGGGCGUAAAGCGAGCGCAGGCGGAAGAAUAAGUCUGAUGUGAAAGCCCUCGGCUUAACCGAGGAACUGCAUCGGAAACUGUUUUUCUUGAGUGCAGAAGAGGAGGGUGGAAUUCCAUGUGUAGCGGUAGAAUGCGUAGAUAUAUGGAAGAACACCAGUGGCGAAGGCGACUCUCUGGUCUGCAACUGACGCUGAGGCUCGAAAGCAUGGGUAGCGAACAGG